AUGGCAGAGUCGCUGCUUCUCCCACUAGUGCGCGGCGUGGCCGGCAAGGCCGCAGAUGCACUUGUAGAGACCAUUACCCACAUGUGUGGCCUCGACGAUGACCACCGAACGCUGGAGCGCCAUCUGCUAGCCGUCGAGUGCAAGCUUGCUAACGCCGAGGAGAGGAGCGAGACAAACGACUAUGUCAAGAGCUGGAUGAAGGAGCUCAAGUCUGUCGCCUACGAGGCCGACGACGUGCUCGAUGACUUCCAGUAUGAGGCACUGCGCUGUCGGUCUAAGAUUGGCAAGUCCACUAUCCGCAAGGUACUCGGCUACAUCAAGCACCACAGCCCGCUACUCUUCUGUUUUGAAAUGAGAAAGAAACUCAAGAACGUACCCGAGAAGAUCAAUAAAUUGGUUGAGGAGAUGAACAAGUAUGGACUGGAGAAUUCUGUACAUAGGGAGGAGCAGCGACAUUCUUGGCGGCAGACACACUCAAAACUGGACGACUCUACCAAAAUCUUUGGAAGAGAUGAUGAUAAGGAAGUGGUGGCGAACUUGCUGCUGGACCAGCAAGAUCAGUUGAAGGUGCAGGUCCUGCCCAUCUUUGGGAUGGGAGGUCUUGGCAAGACAACUCUUGCUAAGAUGUUGUAUAAUGACCAAGGGGUCCAGCAGCAUUUCCAGUUGAAGAUGUGGCACUGCGUGUCGGACAACUUUGAUGCCAUUGCUAUUGUCAAAUCCAUCAUUGAGUUGGCUACAAAUGGAAGUUGUGACCUGCCUGGCAGCAUUGAACUAUUGCAAAAGCGACUUGAACAAGUCAUUGGCCAAAAAAGGUUUAUGCUCGUGCUUGAUGAUGUGUGGAAUGAAGAUGAGAGGAAGUGGGAGGAUGUCCUGAAGCCUCUUUUGUGUUCUAUUGGAGGACCAGGAAGCGUAAUAGUUGUCACAACUCAAAGCCAGAAAGUGGCCGCUAUAAUGCAGACCCUUCAACCCCACAAGCUAGCAUGUCUGAGUGAACGAGAUUCAUGGGAAUUAUUUGCAAAGAAAGCAUAUGGCAACGGUGUAGAGCAGGAGCAAGCAGAGUUGGUCGGCAUUGGCAAACGUACUGUCAACAAAUGCAGGGGGCUGCCUCUUGCUCUCAAGACAAUGGGUGGAUUGCCAAGUUCAUAUCAACAAGUACAAGAAUGGAAGGCCAUCGAAGAAAGUAAUAUUAGGGAUAAUGAUAGAGGGAAAGAUGAGAUCAUUUCCAUCCUAAAGUUGAGCUAUACCCACCUAUCAUCUGAAAUGGAGCAAUGUUUUGCAUUCUUAGCAGUUUUUCCCAAGGACUAUAAGAUGGACAGGAACAUGUUGAUCCAGCUAUGGAUGGCAAAUGGUUUUAUUCAAGAGAAGGAACAAUGGAUUUAA
rnacentral:rRNA from 1 species